CUAUCCAGGUAUUAAAUAAUGUAUAAAUAAUGACAAAUAGGAGAAUGAAAGGAAAACAUUUCUUUGUAGUCUGAGCAUCCACUAUAGAAGAAUAUACCAUGCCUUAGUAUUAAGUAUUUUAAUUUAAGGAUUUGUCAGUGAAU